GUUGCCGACAGCAAAACAUAUCGUUCCAAAGCGAGUCAUGCCGAUGGUGCUCCGAAGUAGUGAUGUGUUUUCUCUUUCUUUUUUUUUAACCUAAACUUUGUAAUCAUGUUAGAUGCAAAUAAAUAAAGUUCAUCUUUAUUAAUGGCACUCGAUAUUUGAAUGGAUGCGUAAAUCAUAUUUCAAAUGACACAAGCCAUAUUCUGAACUAAACUAAAUUUAACUGUAAUAAUAAGAUACAAUACAAGCCAUAAGACUCGUAUUUGUUAUGCAGGUUCUAGAGAGAAUUAAAAUUCAAACCAUAUCCAUGUGGCAGAUACCGCCACACGUUCGUGUAUGUCUUUUCAAAAGUGGUGCAGAGUAUGCCUUACUUGCUACCAGCAUUAAUUGCCAUAUCGACGACAGGAGUCACAUCCUAACAAGGGCUGCCAUGCGUCGAGCAUCCGCUUGCACUUCAUUGAUUCACAUCUUCGAUAACUAGUUCUAAAAAUAUGAAUUACCUGGAGAUGAUUUGAUCUCCAGAUCUAUAUAAACCCCUGACAAGAUAGCCUGUUAGGGUUAUCGAAUAUCUUUUCCUUCCUAGAUCGCCUAUUUUCUUUCAUCGUCAUCCGCUUUAGAAUCUCCUUAUUUUUUCUAUGAGGAGAAUGGCUUUUAAGAACUCCAACUUUGCACCACUAAGAUUUUGGUCUGAGCUGAUGGAGAGAGAUGUGAUUCUGCACCAUGACC
rnacentral:lncRNA from 1 species